CCUACGGGUGGCAGCAGUGGGGAAUUUUGCGCAAUGCUCGUAAGAGUGACGCAGCGCCGCCGCGUGAAUGACGAAGGCCUUCGGGUCGUAAAGUUCUUUCGACAGGGAAGAAGCAAGUGACGGUACCUGACGAAUAAGCCACGGCUAACUACGUGCCAGCAGCCGCGGUACUACGUAGGUGGCAAGCGUUAUCCGGAUUUACUGGGUGUAAAGGGCGUGUAGGCGGGACGUCAAGUCAGAUGUGAAAACCACGGGCUCAACCUGUGCCCUGCAUUGGAAACUGGAGUUCUUGAGUACUGGAGAGGCAGAUGGAAUUCCUAGUGUAGCGGUGAAAUGCGUAGAUAUUAGGAGGAACACCAGUGGCGAAGGCGGUCUGCUGGACAGCAACUGACGCUGAGGCGCGAAAGCGUGGGGAGCAAACAGGAGUAGAUACCCUGGUAGUC
rnacentral:rRNA from 1 species